UGGGGGAUAUUGCACAAUGGGCGAAAGCCUGAUGCAGCGACGCCGCGUGGGGGAUGAAGGCCUUCGGGUUGUAAACUUCUUUUGCUCUGAACAAGGCGCACCAUGGGGUGUGUUGAGUGUAGGGGUUGAUUAGCGCCGGCUAACUACGUGCCAGCAGCCGCGGUAAUACGUAGGGCGCGAGCGUUGUCCGGAAUUAUUGGGCGUAAAGGGCUUGUAGGUGGCUGGUUGCGUCUGUCGUGAAAGCUCAUGGCUUAACUGUGGGUUUGCGGUGGGUACGGGCUGGCUUGAGUGCAGUAGGGGAGGCUGGAAUUCCUGGUGUAGCGGUGGAAUGCGCAGAUAUCAGGAGGAAUACCGGUGGCGAAGGCGGGUCUCUGGGCUGUUACUGACACUGAGGAGCGAAAGCAUGGGGAGCGAAUAGG
rnacentral:rRNA from 1 species